rnacentral:tRNA from 1 species
GCGGGUGUAGCUCAAUGGUAGAGCGCCUGGUUCCCAACCAGACGACGAGGGUUCGAUUCCCUUCACCCGCUCCA